GACGAACGCUGGCGGCGUGCCUAAUACAUGCAAGUAGAACGCACAGUUUAUACCGUAGCUUGCUACACCAUAGACUGUGAGUUGCGAACGGGUGAGUAACGCGUAGGUAACCUGCCUGGUAGCGGGGGAUAACUAUUGGAAACGAUAGCUAAUACCGCAUAAUAUUAAUUAUUGCAUGAUAAUUAAUUGAAAGGUGCAAUUGCACCACUACCAGAUGGACCUGCGUUGUAUUAGCUAGUAGGUGAGGUAACGGCUCACCUAGGCGACGAUACAUAGCCGACCUGAGAGGGUGAUCGGCCACACUGGGACUGAGACACGGCCCAGACUCCUACGGGGGGCAGCAGUAGGGAAUCUUCGGCAAUGGACGAAAGUCUGACCGAGCAACGCCGCGUGAGUGAAGAAGGUUUUCGGAUCGUAAAGCUCUGUUGUAAGAGAAGAACGGGUGUGAGAGUGGAAAGUUCACACUGUGACGGUAUCUUACCAGAAAGAGACGGCUAACUACGUG
rnacentral:rRNA from 1 species